GAAGAGCUGACACAAACACAGAGUUUAUUGAAGGACACUGAGAAUAUGAGAUCCAGAACACUGCAGAAUGAAACAUACUGAAGAACAAAGAGCGGCAAAAUUCUAAUCUGAAAAAUGAAGCCUACCCGGAAGUGGGAAAAACUGCAAUACAUCGAAAAUCCGCUAGAGGUCGGUCCCAAAAGGGGGUUCUGAGUGCCUGACAACUGUGAGCUGAUAACGGGCUGC